rnacentral:lncRNA from 1 species
CAUCUAACAGCACAGGGAACAUCCAUCCGUGACUCAAGCCCCAUAUGGGUGCAGGUUCUCUUGUGAGCCCUGAGUCAUCAUCUCCAUCUGACCAGGCCUCCCCUUCUCAUGGCUUCUUGCCAAGGCUGCUCUUAGCCUGGGCUAAUUAGCAUCCUCCACCCCCCCACCCUGUCCUCCGCUCUCGCCCACUCAGGCAGGCUGGAAUUGAAAGGGAGAGCUCAAGAGCUGUGAAAAAUGAGCAAAGCUUGGGAGGCAGGAGAAACUGCAAACUGGGAGCCCCUCAUGCCAAUUUUAGGGCAGCCCCUGUUAUGAGAGCAAUAAAGAAAUGGCAAUUUCUGCCAUUUAGAAGCAAAUGGCCCUUUCAUCUGGAGAGGCUGUUGAAGGCAAAGCACACUCCACCGCGGAGGAGGUGCGGCUCUGGUUCCAAUCUUUGCAUCCCUGAUACCCGAGUAAAAUGCAGCUGAGAGGAGUCACCUAGUUGCCCCUCGGCC